UGCAGAACCAGAAUUGGUUUCCAGAGC
rnacentral:piRNA from 1 species